rnacentral:rRNA from 1 species
AGAGUUUGAUUAUGGCUCAGGAUGAACGCUAGCGACAGGCUAACACAUGCAAGUCGAGGGCAGCACGGAGUAGCAAUACAACUGGUGGCGACCGGCGCACGGGUGAGUAACGCGUAUGCAACCUACCUAUCAGAGGGGAAUAACCCGGCGAAAGUCGGACUAAUACCGCAUAAAACAGGGGCACCGCAUGGUGAUAUUUGUUAAAGAGAUUCGCUGAUAGAUGGGCAUGCGUUCCAUUAGGUAGUUGGUGAGGUAACGGCUCACCAAGCCGACGAUGGAUAGGGGAACUGAGAGGUUGGUCCCCCACACUGGUACUGAGACACGGACCAGACUCCUACGGGAGGCAGCAGUGAGGAAUAUUGGUCAAUGGGCGGGAGCCUGAACCAGCCAAGUCCGUGUGAAGGAAGAAGGAUCUAUGGUUCGUAAACUUCUUUUGCAGGGGAAUAAAGUGCAGGACGUGUCCUGUUUUGUAUGUACCCUGAGAAUAAGGAUCGGCUAACUCCGUGCCAGCCGCCGC